rnacentral:rRNA from 1 species
CUAUACAAAGGUAUUGUAAUAAGAUUUUAAUUGAAUGCUAAAAGAAUGGAAAUUUAAAAAAAAACUUUUUUAAAAAUAAAAAUUGAAUUUUUUUUAAUUUGUGCAAAAACAAUUAUACUUAUUAAAGACAAGAAGACCCUAAGAAUUUAAGAUUUUACAAUUAAAAAGUUUUUUUUUUAAAAUCUUGAUUGGGGCGAUCAAAAAAUAUUAAUAACUUUUUAAAAUUUAAAUUGAUCUAUUAUUAAUAAACUAAUGAAUUAAAUACUCUAGGGAUAACAGCGUAAUAAUUUUUGAUAGAUCUUAUUGACAAAAUAGUUUGCGACCUCGAUGUUGGAUUAGGAUUCUUUUUUAAUGAAGAAGUUAAAAAAAGAAGUUUGUUCAACUUUUAAAUUCCUACUUGAUCUGAGUUCAGACCGG